rnacentral:rRNA from 1 species
CCUACGGGAGGCAGCAGUGGGGAAUAUUGGACAAUGGGCGAAAGCCUGAUCCAGCAAUGCCGCGUGAGUGAUGAAGGCCUUAGGGUUGUAAAGCUCUUUUACCAGGGAUGAUAAUGACAGUACCUGGAGAAUAAGCUCCGGCUAACUCCGUGCCAGCAGCCGCGGUAAUACGGAGGGAGCUAGCGUUGUUCGGAAUUACUGGGCGUAAAGCGUACGUAGGCGGUUAUUCAAGUCAGAGGUGAAAGCCUGGAGCUCAACUCCAGAACUGCCUUUGAAACUAGAUAGCUAGAAUCUUGGAGAGGUGAGUGGAAUUCCGAGUGUAGAGGUGAAAUUCGUAGAUAUUCGGAAGAACACCAGUGGCGAAGGUGACUCACUGGACAAGUAUUGACGCUGAGGUACGAAAGCGUGGGGAGCAAACAGGAUUAGAUACCCUGGUAGUCCACGCCGUAAACGAUGAUAACUAGCUGUUCGGGCUCUACGAGCUUGAGUGGCGCAGCUAACGCAUUAAGUUAUCCGCCUGGGGAGUACGGUCGCAAGAUUAAAACUCAAAAGGAAUUGACGG